rnacentral:rRNA from 1 species
CCUAGGCCUUGAGAUGACGGUAGCUUACCAGAAAGUCACGGCUAACUACGUGCCAGCAGCCGCGGUAAUACGUAGGUGGCAAGCGUUGUCCGGAUUUAUUGGGCGUAAAGCGAGCGCAGGCGGAAUGAUAAGUCUGAUGUGAAAGCCCACGGCUCAACCGUGGAACUGCAUCGGAAACUGUCAUUCUUGAGUGCAGAAGAGGAGAGUGGAACUCCAUGUGUAGCGGUGGAAUGCGUAGAUAUACGGAAGAACACCAGUGGCGAAGGCGGCUCUCUGGUCUGCAACUGACGCUGAGGCUCGAAAGCAUGGGUAGCGAACAGGAUUAGAUACCCCAGUAGUCCUAGCCGUAAACGAUGGAUACUAGGUGUUGUCUGUAUCGACCCGGACAGUGCCGUAGCUAACGCGUUAAGUAUCCCGCCUGGGGAGUACGCACGCAAGUGUGAAACUCAAAGGAAUUGACGGGGGCCCGCACAAGCGAUGGAGUAUGUGGUUUAAUUCGAUGCAACGCGAAGAACCUUACCAG